rnacentral:miRNA from 10 species
AGAAUGCCCCAGUUGAAUUUGAGUUUCAGAUAAACAAUGAAUACAUUUUUAGUGUUAAGCAUGCUCUGUGUAAUAUUUGGGACAUACUUAUACUAAAAAUAAAUUUCUUAUUUAUCUGAAAUUCCAAUUUUACUGGGCAUUCUGUA